rnacentral:rRNA from 1 species
AUUGAACGCUGGCGGCAGGCCUAACACAUGCAAGUCGAGCGGAUGACGGGAGCUUGCUCCUUGAUUCAGCGGUGGACGGGUGAGUAAUGCCUAGGAACCUGCCUGGUAGUGGGGGACAACGUUUCGAAAGGAACGCUAAUACCGCAUACGUCCUACGGGAGAAAGCAGGGGACCUUCGUGCCUUGCGCUCUCAGAUGAGCCUAGGUCGGAGUAGCUAGGUGGUGGGUGAAGGCUCACCAAGGCGACGAUCCGUAACUGGUCUGAGAGGAUGAGCAGUCACACUGGAACUGAGACACGGUCCAGACUCCUACGGGAGGCAGCAGUGGGGAAUAUUGGGCAAUGGGCGAAAGCCUGAUCCAGCCAUGCCGCGUGUGUGAAGAAGGUCUUCGGAUUGUAAAGCACUUUAAGUUGGGAGGAAGGGCAGUAAGUUAAUACCUUGCUGUUUUGACGUUACCGACAGAAUAAGCACCGGCUAACUCUGUGCCAGCAGCCGCCGUAA